UACAGAGGUCCCAAGCGUUGUUCGGAUUCAUUGGGCGUAAAGGGUGCGUAGGUGGCGGGGUAAGUUGGAUGAUGAAAUCCUGGGGCUCAACCCUAGAACUGCAAUUCAAUACUGCCUUGCUGGAGUACUGGAGAGGAGAUUGGAAUUUACGGUGUAGCAAGUGAAAUGCGUAGAUAUCGUAAGGAAGACCAGUGGCGAAGGCGGGUCUCUGGACAGUCCUGACACUGAGGCACGAAGGCCAGGGAGCAAACGGG
rnacentral:rRNA from 1 species